rnacentral:rRNA from 1 species
CAACCGACCAUAUUACCUUUUGGAAGUAAAAAAUCGUAACAAGGUUUCCGUAGGUGAACCUGCGGAAGGAUCAUUA